UUUGGCUUAUCCUAACCAUUGAUUUAUCCUAAUCAUAUGUUUAGAUAAAAUAGUUCAGGUUCAUAUCUAUGCUCAGUUUGAAAUUAAAUAUGGGAUGUGCUUUUUGAAUCUGAAUAGUUUCAGCCUGUAGGCUUUACUUGUGCUUUUGAAUCUGCAGUAUUUUCAGCUUGUUUUGGUUAUAUGCUUGGACAGACUCAAGUUUGUAUUUAUGUGUGGUAGCAAAUAAACAAGAGAAGCAUUUGUCCUACCAUACACAAAAUCAAUGAGAUGCACCGUUAGUUUUCAAUUUCGCUUGUGCAUUUCUUGUGUCUUAUCUUAUAGUCGUCGUUGCUAUAUGCUUUAUUCAGAACAGGUUUUUAUCAUGCUUUAUACUCUGGUUGGUCUGGUUGCUGCUCUGGACAUGAACCUUACAGGCUGAAACAUGGCACAAUCCGCCACCGCACCCAACGACCACCAUCAUCUGUUCAAGCACCCGUACCAUGGCGAUGCAUGGGCUGCUCAGUCGUGCAACUCGCUCACAGCCGGGCGAUGGCUUACUCCAACGAUUUCUUGUGGGAGGCCGCCCCCGUUCGAGCUCCAACAACCAGCAUGUUCCAACCGAGGUAUACAAAAUUGAUUAGGUGGCGACCCGAUGUCCCCUAUUAGCUGUUGUACCUACUGCUAAAUUAACCAUUCACGGCAACACGAUGAUGUGUUUGAUCUUCGAUUGAUUCUUCACUCUGAAACCGGGGUUAGGCUUGUCCCCUGUUAAGUGUGUGGUUGUACCUUCUUCUAAAUUAAUCAUGGACUUUCAUUCGCUCUAUUAUAUUCUCCAAAUGAAAACGAAUAGAUAAAGUCCAAAUGGUCGUAGAACUCUGGGAUAAACCUUAAUUGGGUCAUAUGUGAAUUUGGCCACCAGUCAUUUAGUUAGUUUUCUGCAUUCACUUGGAUUAUGAUAAGUUUAGCUCAGAAGUGUGGCCACUUCCCCAUUUGUUUUUUUGAUUGAAUAACUUGUAUCUGAUUUUUUAGACAAGAUCAUACUACUCUUGAUUAUUUGCUUUGUGUUUUUGAUUGAGACAGGCUAUGGGAACCAACACUAUUUAGCUUAUAGGAUCUCUGUUUCAAAUGACUCUAUGCGGCCUUAGCGACAGUGGCUUGUACAGGAUAGGAUGUUGAGGACUCCUGCUAGCAGUGGCGGAGCUAUGUAGGGGCAAAACAGUGCCAUGGCCCGCCCAGCUUAGAACGAAAACAAUGCAAAGUAUGAGCCUAACUGGGCUAUUUCUGAAUUUUUUGGGUGGUAUUCUUCAGAUUGGCCCGCCCUGCUCUUAGUUUGUAGCUCCGCCACUGCCUGCUAGAGAGCUCAUCGACGACUGCAACAAGUAGUCCCAUGGGAAAAUUAAGCUCCUUCUUUUAGUGAUGUUAGCGGUUGUUCGACGUAUUUUAUCUCAUUGCAGCCGGCUAGGCAACUGCAUUCUUCACUCCAGUUAAUCACAUAUGUCUGUUUUUGUGUAGGUUUCACUAGAUUUAAAUUUCAGUUUUGUCUGCGCUGAGCUGUAGGUUGUUUGAUUAUUGUAUCAAGUGGAAACGAACUUCUCAUGGAUCUCCUGAAAUUUUGCUAGACAAUGGUUAAUCUACUAUACACUUCAAAUAUAGUCAUGGAUAUCUGAACUAGAAAGUGCACUGUAGUUUAUUAUAUGCUGAAUAUCAUGCACAAUCCUCUACAUUUUGAAUAUUUGGAUAAGAAGUAGGAUGUUCUUCCCUUGCUUGCCACUUCUUUUGCAUCCUUUUGGCAACCUUGCAGCCAAGUCACUCUGCAGCUCUACAGGCUACAGUUAACUGCAUUCUCAACCUUAUCAUUCAGUUUGCACAUGUGUGCAACUUUGAACGAUUAGUAAGAUGGACCAAUAAGAAAGUGAGCUACAAGGUGUUACUUUGUAGCAGAUGAACACAUACAUUUGAAUAGGUUUAUGUACAAGGACUACUUUAUACUCUGGUUGGUCUGGUUGCUGCUCUGGACAUGAACCUCCUGUUUGCUUGAGUUUCGAAUCUAAUGGGAAGAGAAACUAGCAAUGCAUAGCGGAAUUAAAGUAUGGAGAACCCCGUUUAGCUUGAGGUAAUAAUAAGCUGCCGUAUUUGAUAAAUUUGCUUGCUUUGUCGUCUUACUUCCUAUAGGUGUUAAAUAGGGUUUUCUUGAGAUGUGAUUUUAGGAAAUAGUUUGUACGCACAUGUUUUGCUUUCCCUGUUACCAUCUUGCUUUCCCUGCUGCUCACUUUCUUUUUAAAUAGUGUCAUUGUCUUUGCUUCAUCACCGUAGAUGCUAGCUAAAUUAUUAUGAGUUGCUACUACAGCAGAACUAAAUUAGUCCUUUUUUCAUGUUCUCUUAGGUUAUGCAGGUAGUAAAGGAGCAACAUGUAUUUUUAAAGGUUAUGUGUGGACCCAUGUAUUUUGUGUGUGGGUAGUGCUGUUUUUUGGUUGAUGGCUUUAGGUUCUAGAUGCUUAAUUAGCUUGGUAUUUCCAUUGGUUAAUCCUGUUGUCGAUUAUUUUUUGCCGGCCUUGCCUUCAGCUUUGUGGGUGCUGUAGUUUUGCCUAAUCUAUUGACUCUCACCGAUCAUCAGGUAGGGGUGUAUUGUCCACUCUCAGGUACCAACCUUUACUUUAUACCAACCUAUCAUCUCUUCUGCUGGGUUCCAUGUAUUGAUACUGUUACUUUGCUACAUGUUUCUCUGCUUUUAGUUGUGCAAUCUGAAAUAUGGUUCUUGGACUGUUUCAUGUAAGGCACCGGAUUUUCUAUAAGUCCGCAGACGGCAAGAGCAUGCAUGUGCUUGCUCUGUUACAGGGCGAAAAGUUUAGAUUUCAUGGUUCAUAAGACAAAAUGGCAAUAUUUAGGACCAGAUCACAAUACAACUAUGAUACAAGAUCUCAUGGUCAUGUAUUAGCUGGUAGUAACGUCAUGUUCUUUUGAGUCUGACAAAGCCUUUAUUUUUUGAAAAUGGUUUCAAUAGACAUACAAUUAGGCUGCCGGCUAGAGAAAAGACUGAAUAAUGGCCCACAUUAGACGUACUAUCAGUCCUCAAAUGGCCAUGUGCUCUGCUUCUUUUUACUGUUGAGUCUUUUAACAAUCGAUCUCUUUCUUUGGUUAUCUUCCUUACAAAAAAGCAGCUUAGAGACCUACUGGCUGCUCUGGAUCAAGAUUAUAAGUAGAUUUCGUAUAUUUGAACAAUAGACAGAGGUUUUCUAUAUGCAUAUGCAUUUAUUGUAUAAUUCAGUUCCGCCACGACAUUUUUACUACCUACUUGAAUUUCCCCUAUACCAGAUAUUAACGUUUGAAAUUAGUGACAUCUACUCUAUAAAUAUCCAUAGGUUGUGGCAUAGACAUGUUUACAUCGACAAUCUUUUCUAUGAGAUAUCUGGUGGCCUUUUGUGUAGUUCAAUGUAUCCAUUUAUCAUUCCAUUGCUUUCUUGAUUCAACAGUAACAAUAAAGGACCGCUAAAUUGUACUUCGUAGAGAAAGGGAUGGCGCACACCUAGGUUUUAUAGGCUAAAGAGUAUCGGUAGUCUGACCGCACAACAUUGUUUUUACACUCAGUAAUCUUUAAUGGUUUAUUAACACUAGCUAAUCCAAAGUAGAUGUUUGUUAUUGGUUCCCUUUUCCUUACUUAUCCACAGGAUAAUGUUCUUCAUUUGUAUCUGUUCUGUAGAACCAUCAAAUUCAAGUCAUCUUUGAGUACACGACAGCUUCUGAAGUUCGUGCCAUCAUGCUUUAGUUUCCCACAUGGGCUGAGAUGAUGCAAAUAAAAAGACGGUCUCGGGCACAAGAGCAUGAUGUGCUUGCACCAUUUGCUUUUACACCAAGGCCACGCGGUUGAUCAUCUAAGUGCACCUAUGAAGUUGACCGACAAGGCAGUUGGACGGAGCUGCUAAUUAGUAUUCCUAAUAGCUAUGGCUUUGUAGUUUGACCGCCUCUACCGUCACUAUGCCUGGCUUUUGCUUUCUUAUUAUGUUCCUGCUAUUAGUACUUCCUCUCUCGUGUUUAUGCUCUUAGUAUUGAACUUAAUGUCGUAGUUAUUAGCUUUUGUGGUCUAAUGAAUUCACUGAGUGUUUAUAAUCUCAUGAGGAUGUUGAACUUGAUAAUAUCUUGCUUUGUUGUCUUGUUGAA